GGAGAGGUGGGUGAGAGGCUGAAACCAGUCGUUUGCUAAAUGACCUAUCGUGGAAACAUGGUACGAGGGUUCGAAUCCCUCCCUCUCCGCCA
rnacentral:tRNA from 2 species